rnacentral:rRNA from 1 species
AGAGCGAACGCUGGCGGCAGGCCUAACACAUGCAAGUCGAGCGCCCGUAGCAAUACGGGAGCGGCAGACGGGAUAGUAACACGUGGGAACGCGCCCUUCGGUUCGGAAUAACUCAGGGAAACUUGAGCUAAUACCGGAUACGCCCUUACGGGGAAAGAUUUAUUGCCGAAGGAACGGCCCGCGUCCGAUUAGCUAGUUGGUGAGGUAAUGGCUCACCAAGGCUACGAUCGGUAGCUGGUCUGAGAGGAUGACCAGCAUCACUGGGACUGAGACACGGCCCAGACUCCUACGGGAGGCAGCAGUGGGGAAUAUUGGACAAUGGGCGCAAGCCUGAUCCAGCCAUGCCGCGUGGAUGAUGAAGGCCUUAGGGUUGUAAAGUCCUUUAACGGGAAGAUAAUGACGGUACCGUAGAAUAAGCCCGGCUAACUUCGCGCCAGCAGCCGC